rnacentral:snoRNA from 1 species
ACACAAAAUGAAACUUCAAAAAAGAGAGAGCGAGAGCGUGUGUCUCGUGUUAGAGCAAACUGUGCCUUCUAACCAUUGCCCCGCCCCUGUGCCUAUAGGCUGCUGGUACUGAAGUGAGGAAAAAAACC